GUCUAGUUAACGAGUCUAAAAUAAGGCGAAAUGUACAUCCUAGAU
rnacentral:hammerhead_ribozyme from 1 species